GAUGAAGAACGUAGCGAAAUGCGAUAAGUAGUGUGAAUUGCAGAAUUCAGUGAAUCAUCGAAUCUUUGAACGCACAUUGCGCCCCUUGGUAUUCCAUGGGGCAUGCCUGUUCGAGCGUCAUUUGUACCUUCAAGCUUUGCUUGGUGUUGGGUGUUUGUCUCGCCUUUGCGUGUAGACUCGCCUUAAAAUAAUUGGCAGCCGGCGUAUUGAUUUCGGGGCGCAGUACAUCUCGCGCUUUGCACUCAUAACGACAGCGUCCAAAAGUACAUUUUACACUCUUGACCUCGGAUCAGGUAGGGAUACCCGCUGAACUUAAGCAUAUCAAUAAGCGGAGGA
rnacentral:misc_RNA from 1 species